rnacentral:tRNA from 1 species
GUGGUUGUGGCUCAGUGAUAGAGUGGUCACCUAGCAUGUGUGAGGCACUGGGUUUGAUCCUCAGCAUCACA